UACGUAGGGGGCUAGCGUUGUCCGGAUUUAUUGGGCGUAAAGAGCGUGUAGGCGGCCAGGUAGGUCCGGUGUGAAAACUCGAGGCUUAACCUCGAGAUGUCAUCGGAAACCAUCUGGCUAGAGUCCGGAAGAGGAAAGUGGAAUUCCUGGUGUAGCGGUGAAAUGCGCAGAUAUCGGGAGGAACACCAAUGGCGAAGGCAGCUCGCUGGGACGUUACUGACGCUGAGACGCGAAAGCGUGGGGAGCAAACAGG
rnacentral:rRNA from 1 species